rnacentral:rRNA from 1 species
GACGAACGUUGGCGGCGUGCUUAAUACAUGCAAGUCAACUGAAGCAGUGGUAGCAAUAUCGCUGUGGAGGUGGCGCACGGGUGAGUAACACGUAGGUAAUCUGCCUUCAGGUCUGGCAUAACUCCGGGAAACCGGGGCUAAUAGCAGAUGAUGCAGCGGCUCGACAUCGAGACAGUUGUUAAAGCUAUGGCGCCUGAAGAUGAGCCUGCGUCUGAUUAGCUAGUUGGCGGGGUAACGGCCCACCAAGGCAACGAUCAGUAGCUGGUCUGAGAGGAUGAUCAGCAACACUGGAACUGAGACACGGUCCAGACUCCUACGGGAGGCAGCAGUAAGGAAUAUUGCUCAAUGGGAGAAAUCCUGAAGCAGCAACGCCGCGUGAGGGACGAAGGGCUUUUGCUUAUAAACCUCUGUAGUGAGAGAAAAAAAUCCCAAUCUUUGGGACAUGAUGGUAUCUCAAAAGUAAGCCCCGGCUAACUACGUG